rnacentral:rRNA from 1 species
GACGAACGCUGGCGGCGUGCUUAACACAUGCAAGUCGAACGGUAAGGCCCUUCGGGGUACACGAGUGGCGAACGGGUGAGUAACACGUGGGUGAUCUGCCCUGCACUUCGGGAUAAGCCUGGGAAACUGGGUCUAAUACCGGAUAGGACCACUGCCUGCAUGGGUGGGGGUGGAAAGCUUUUGCGGUGUGGGAUGGGCCCGCGGCCUAUCAGCUUGUUGGUGGGGUGAUGGCCUACCGAGGCGACGACGGGUAGCCGGCCUGAGAGGGUGACCGGCCACACUGGGACUGAGAGACGGCCCAGACUCCUACGGGAGGCAGCAGUGGGGAAUAUUGCACAAUGGGCGCAAGCCUGAUGCAGCGACGCCGCGUGAGGGAUGACGGCCUUCGGGUUGUAAACCUCUUUCAGCACCGACGAAGCGCAAGUGACGGUAGGUGCAGAAGAAGGACCGGCCAACUACGUGCCAGCCGCCGCAGUAA